ACCAGCACAGCCUCUCCUACCUUUGGGAAAUCUUUUCAUCUUCCUCUUUACCUGUUCCAUUUUACUGCAUUCUUUUGUGAAGAAGGAAGCCUGAAAAUGCAUACAACACACCAGAUUAUUUUUAAAUGUUGAACCGUUGAAGGCCCAGAACAAGCCCUUUUAAAGCCCUUUGAGAUCUGCCAUUUACACAGCGUUCCAUCCAGCUCACCAUCCACUUGUACAGCCCUCACUCCCUGAGUUUGCCUUCGAGGAUAUCAUGAGAAGCAGCAUCAAAAUCCUUGCUGAAAUCCAGUCCUCACACACGUCUCCUGACUGCCAUGACCAUUCCAAGGUGAAUGAGAGAGGCCAAGAUAUGGUGUCCUUCCAUUCCCUCAGCACUUGCAGGUGCACCCCAUUAGGACGAACUUGUGGAUGUCAAGGUUUGACUAAAUGAUCUCUAACCUGAUCCUCUUCAACCAAGGGAAAGUUGUCAUCAUUUCCAAUGACAAGAGGGUAUGAAACCUCACAACCAUUACAUUGAACUAUUUUGCCAUGAAAAUAUUUCUUUCUCCUUUGUGAGUGUUUACAGCAAAGUGAUUGUAAAGAAAACCAAGUA